GAUUUUCAAUAGAGUUUUCACAUGGCUUAGCAAGUUUUAUAUGCCUUUCUACAAUCAAGUUCGACUAAACCGGGGACAUACGUGUGGAAUUUUGAUUCGGUUACUUCCGGUUUAGCAUUCAUCAGAGACACGUAAGCAUUAUUACCCCCAUCACACUUUACACAUGUAUCGUUCCCCUACUUUCUCGGGUCAUUUACGCGCGUGAGUAUUCGCCAUCCUCGCGACGCAGAGGCUCACAAUAGCUUCCUAGGGUUUCGUUUGUUGGCAAUCACGAUCCUAACCUAACCCCUUUCUGAUUACCUCACCAAUCUUCGAUUCCUUGCUUCGAAUCUCCAAUAUCGCCAGCGUGCGUGAUAAACCCUAAAGAAACCCUAAUUUUCCCAAUCACAAAACUCAUCAACGAGCCAAUGGCGUCUGGUGCUAUAGUUCCCAAUGCGAAGCAUAAACGGAGUGAAAUUAGCAACAAAAGAUUGAAACCCACGACGGUGGUGCGACCGAUUCCGCUCGUGAUGAUGAAGAUAAGUCUAAACUCAACCUCAAAACUUGAAGUUCGCAACUUGAAGCGGAAACUAACAGCUGAGCUUGAAAAAGUCAGGACCUUGAUCAACCGCCUCGAACCUGUCCCCGACAAGACAGCGAACAAUGGUAAUAAGGGAGGCUCCGACAAAGGUAAAGCUCAGAUUUUGAAGAGCUUGCUUACGAAGCUUAUGAAGCAUAAGUUUGGGUGGAUUUUCAACACGCCGGUUGAUGCGGUUAAGUCCGGUUUACAUGAUUAUCACAAGGAAGAAAAAUAAUAAAAAAAGACAGCUUUUAGAUUACUAGCUCCACGCAAAAAAACAAUAGAGAUACCUGCAACCCCCAACUUGGGGCCCCCAGCCAUUACUUAACACUCGCAUUUUCUUUGUUAAUAUUUCUCUGUACGAACAAAGUUGCUUCCUUUCUUGUUUUUCUCGAGUGAUUGGUCUGUUGAAUGAUUUCAACAUAGACAUGGCUGUGGAACUGAUCUCGUAAAGUUAUGUGAUUCUGUGAGAUUAAAGCUAAAGACGUGGCUCACUGAUUGCUUCAAUUUGCUUUGCAGCGUUUUGGAAACACAAAGUUCAAGAAUGAGACUUUGGUGAUUUUUGCUUAUUUCAGUAUGCAAAUAAACCAUGGAGUCUGCUGCAACAAGUGCAGCUGUAUACCAGACGGUCAGACGACACGACGACUUUGAGUCUUAAGUUUCUGAGCUCACACAUCGCUGCAAUCCUUCAUUCACUCAGAUAACUUCCAAUGUAGCACAAGUUUUCUGGAAAUAUCAGCAGGAAAGGAUCGAACGUAAAAGGGUAUUCUCAGUGGUCGUUAAUGUAUUUGUGUGAGCUAUUUGGAGGGUAUAAACAUGAGUUAUGGAUUAUAUUUACGUGGACUUCAAGGACCCUAACUAGGACAGAUUAUUCAGAUUCAAGGUGAACAGAGGAAGAACCUUCCUUGUUCAGGUAACUGUAGAUCAUCAUCUUUUGUGAUCUUAAGAAUGUUCAACCGGCUGGUAUUGUGAAGAAGGAUAACAUCUAGACACCAUGGUUUUUGCCCAACAAUCAAAUCAGCCAGACUCUAAAAUGAAGAUUAGUCAGACGAGACAUAUGUUCCAAAGAGUUGGUAAAAUAUACUUUAAGAGAAGACAGAUGGAUAGAAAACCAAACAAGAACCUUGCAAAACAAGUAACCUUUUAUUCUUCAUCAGCGAAACAAGGGUUCAAAGCAGAUCAGCUAGGUUUGAUGGAAGCUCCUCAACAACCAUAUUGUAAAACUUCUGGAUAUCAGCAAGCAUUUUCUCAUCAUCACGAGUCACAAAGUUAAUCGCCGCACCUUUCCUCCCAAACCUUCCACUUCUUCCGAUACGGUGAAGGUAAUUCGCUGGCUGAGUUGGAAGGUCAAAGUUGAUGAC